GGGAUGCGCUGCUAACAUGCAGUCGAGCGACAGAUAAGGAGCUUGCUCCUUUGACGUUAGCGGCGGACGGGUGAGUAACACGUGGGUAACCUACCUAUAAGACUGGAAUAACUCCGGGAAACCGGGGCUAAUGCCGGAUAACAUUUAGAACCGCAUGGUUCUAAAGUGAAAGAUGGUUUUGCUAUCACUUAUAGAUGGACCCGCGCCGUAUUAGCUAGUUGGUAAGGUAAUGGCUUACCAAGGCAACGAUACGUAGCCGACCUGAGAGGGUGAUCGGCCACACUGGAACUGAGACACGGUCCAGACUCCUACGGGAGGCAGCAGUAGGGAAUCUUCCGCAAUGGGCGAAAGCCUGACGGAGCAACGCCGCGUGAGUGAUGAAGGGUUUCGGCUCGUAAAACUCUGUUAUUAGGGAAGAACAAACGUGUAAGUAACUGUGCACGUCUUGACGGUACCUAAUCAGAAAGCCACGGCUAACUACGUGCCAGCAGCCGCGGUAAUACGUAGGUGGCAAGCGUUAUCCGGAAUUAUUGGGCGUAAAGCGCGCGUAGGCGGUUUCUUAAGUCUGAUGUGAAAGCCCACGGCUCAACCGUGGAGGGUCAUUGGAAACUGGGAGACUUGAGUGCAGAAGAGGAAAGUGGAAUUCCAUGUGUAGCGGUGAAAUGCGCAGAGAUAUGGAGGAACACCAGUGGCGAAGGCGACUUUCUGGUCUGUAACUGACGCUGAUGUGCGAAAGCGUGGGGAUCAAACAGGAUUAGAUACCCUGGUAGUCCACGCCGUAAACGAUGAGUGCUAAGUGUUAAGGGGGUUUCCGCCCCCUUAGUGCUGCAGCUAACGCAUUAAGCACUCCGCCUGGGGAGUACGACCGCAAGGUUGAAACUCAAAGGAAUUGACGGGGACCCGCACAAGCGGUGGAGCAUGUGGUUUAAUUCGAAGCAACGCGAAGAACCUUACCAAAUCUUGACAUCCUUUGACCACUCUAGAGAUAGAGUUUUCCCCUUCGGGGGACAAAGUGACAGGUGGUGCAUGGUUGUCGUCAGCUCGUGUCGUGAAAUGUUGGGUUAAGUCCCGCAACGAACCCAACCCUUAAACUUAUUUGCCACCAUUUAUUUGGGCCUUUUAGGUUGACUGCCGGUGACAACCCGAGGAAAGGGGGGGGAGGAAUUCUAAUUUUCUGGCCCCUUUUAAUUUGGGCUCCCCCCGGCGUCACAUGGGAGGGUAAAAAGGGGGGCAAAACCCCGAGGGCUGGCAAACCCCGCAAGGAUGUUUCCACUUCCGAAUUAUAGUCUGCACCUCCCACCUCCGAAAGCAGAGACCGGAGGGAAAAUGAAAAACAAGCCCCGACGAAAAAUUUUCCCGGGUUUUGUUACAACCCCG
rnacentral:rRNA from 1 species